rnacentral:rRNA from 1 species
CACGUAGGGCGCAAGCGUUGUCCGGAAUUAUUGGGCGUAAAGAGCUCGUAGGCGGCUUGUCGCGUCGGCUGUGAAAUCCCGUGGCUCAACUGUGGGCGGGCAGCUGAUACGGGCAGGCUGGAGUUCGGUAGGGGAGACUGGAAUUCCUGGUGUAGCGGUGAAAUGCGUAGAUAUCUGGAGGAACACCGGUGGCGAAGGCGGCGUUCUGGACUGUAACUGACACUGAGGAACGAAAGCCAGGGGAGCAAACGGG